ensembl:lncRNA
UUGAAGUCCACGGCAUGGCCACAGUGUUUCUGCUGCUGAAAUCACCAAAGGCCCAACUUUCAACAUGGCAAAAUAAUUGACAUAAACUCCUCACAACUCCAAUAAAAACAGCAGUGAUGCAGGUUGGUCACGAGGUCACCAGCAACGGCCUUUUUCAGACUCAUUCCCAACAGAGACGUCCAAUCCCACUAGACACCAUCCAGCCCAUCUACGUCCGAGCCAUCAUCAACCCUAAGCGCGGGAUGGAGGAAGCCCUCCAACCACAAGCACCGCAGCAGCCUAAUACCUGUGGAUCAUCUGGUGCUGAGAAAUCCUGCUUGGAUAUAAGGGUGGCUGUGUUUCUGGUGACUCUGGCUGGAGCUGUGAUACUGCUGCUACUCUACAAGCUCUUACAAGCGAGACACAGACUCAGCGUGGCCAGGGCGAUGCAUGCAGUGGAGUACUACAGCUUCUACCACACUGCCACCUACACCCUCAAACACCCCGGUCCAUGUCAGGACCCACCACCCAAGAACGGGACCGUCGGCGACGCUCCGCCGGUUCUGGCUGUGGCCACAGUCAAACCCGUUGAUAUCACUCCGCUCCCACUGGCACCAACACCUUCCCCAGCGGCUCCUGCCCUACCUCCACCACCUCCUCCACCCGUCCGCGCUCCAUCCUCAUGCCCUCCUGCACCUCCUGUACUGGCUGUGCCCCUGCCUGUCGUAUAUACCACCCCGCCCAGCCCUCACCCGUCACUGGGAGCUUGCUCAGACACUGACGUCUACUCUCGUAUCGGGGCUUUCAGGCCCUCGAGGCUUUCCAGCCUCUCCACCCAUUCAACUGUGAUACUUUUUGAACACUCGUCUCUUUGACUUGGGACCAAUGAUGCAAAUGUGAACUGUACUGGACCGUUCAAUAUAUUCCUUCCAGACGUUGACAGAUAUGCUUCUAUCGAGAAAUUAGGAUAUAAUGAAGUUUGGACAACUAAAAAAAUACCAGCCUUUGGCCAGAACCGCGAAAGAGAAUUCCAACACAAAACACCUUUGUUCUGUUCUUACAGUAACUACUGUAAUACCACUUCUCUCUGUCAUCCUUUCAUUUUCACUGCAUGUAGGGCCUAAAAAUUUGUGUGAUGAAGGACGAAAGGUAACAAGGUGAUGAGACGAUGAGUUGAUGAGCAAGAGGUUUGACCUAAACCUUGUGGCAGUUGUUCAGGGCUCUUCAGUAACCACGCAAACAAAGCAGAUUGACAGCUGCGAUGCUCAGGACAGGACAGGACUUUGUAUAUUUUACAACUGUUGGCAGUUGGGCAAAACAUCACAUUUUUAAUAAGUUUGUUUCUUAUAAUUCUUCAAUCAAAGCAUUCAAAUAUAGAUUUUUUAGAAACGAUGGAUAUUUGCAUAAGAACUUAAGAAGAUAAGAUAUAAGAAGAGCAAAUGUUACACUUGCACAAAGUCAAUUCAAACAUUUGUUACAACCAGAACCCACAUAUCUUAAAACGUGGCAUAGACAUAGACAUAGACUAGUCCCAACCACCGCCAGAGCAGCUGGAUCACUGAGCUCAUAGCUUCCUCUUCCUGGCCUUGUUUUCCAGAGCAGGAUCUCCUCCCAUUCAUAUCACUCAGUCUCAAGAGUCAGUUGUACUCUCUUUAUGUUUCAGACAAGGAUUUUUAAUUGCUCUUAGCAAACUGAAAAGCACAACACAGACCUUAACAAGCACACAUUAUGCAUGUUGUAGUGUAGUGUAGAUCAUAAAUUCACAAACAAAGAUGUUUCAGCUGAAGGUGGUGUGUUGCUGCUUCUCGCUGCUGAAAGCGGAGACCUCAUGUGACAUAUCUGUUUCUGUCUGCGUCUGCUCGUGGAGGCACCGUCUCCAUACUAAAAGCCUUUUAAUUCAAUCUGAGCAUGCACUGCAGCGUUGUCUCUUAAUUUGUUGUAAACCGAGAAGGAAAAGCAUUUGUAACAAUACACCAUGGUAGGAAUUCAAUGAAACAAGGGGAUGUCAUUCAAGGAUAAAUAUGAAUGUGUGUGUUCAUGAGCUGAUCACAGUAGGGGAAGAUUUUCAUUAUAGAUACACAAUGUAGUUGAUUGUGUUGAUUUUUUUUCACAAGCAGGUUGGUGUAAUGCGAUUAAAUGGAAGCAAAAAUAUUCAUCUACCCAAUUCAUUUAAAUUUGUUAUUUAAAUCCAUUUUAUAAGCAACUUGUCUCAUGGUAGUGCUUUAUAUCCAAGUUUCUCAUUAUGAGCAGGUGUCAUGUUUUCCACCAGGGGGAGACAUUCGUAUAUACGUAGUGCCUCUGUAUAUAAAUACACACACUAUAUAAUUAGGUAGUUAGGAACAAUUGUAGGAAGCCUGUCCUCAGCUAUGUAGUAUAAUGUGGGCAGAUCUUUUGCUCACAAAAGCACUGGAACAUGUGGCUGACAGGUGCGUUUUGUGGGGCUAAGUGUAAACGCUGGUGGGUGGUGACAAGAACAUGUGAAAUGUUAUAGUGUUAUAUAAAUGACUUCACAUAAAUGAUACAAUGUCUUUGUUCCUGGAAUAAACCUAAAUGAGGUUUGUGUUAAAUUCA